AACCCGUAAAACUAUAAGUUCU
rnacentral:miRNA from 1 species